GACGAACGCUGGCGGCGCGCUUAACACAUGCAAGUCGAGCGAGAACCAGUCCUUCGGGACUGGGGAAAGCGGCGAACGGGUGAGUAUCACGUGGGUAUCUGCCCUCGGCACUGGGAUAGCCCGGGGGAACCCGGAUUAAUACCGGAUAGCCUCUCGAACCUUCGGGCUCGUCAGCAAAGGUGGCGUGGGCUUCCGGCUGAGGAUGAGCCCGCGGCGGAUUAGCUUGUUGGUGGGGUAAUGGCUCACCAAGGCGACGAUCCGUAGCUGGUCUGAGAGGACGAUCAGCCACACUGGGACUGAGACACGGCCCAGACUCCUACGGGAGGCAGCAGUGGGGAAUCUUGCGCAAUGGGCGAAAGCCUGACGCAGCGACGCCGCGUGCGGGAAGAAGGCCUUCGGGUUGUAAACCGCUUUCAGGAGGGACGAAGCCACUCGGGUUAAUAGCCCAGAGGGUGACGGUACCUCCAGAAGAAGCCCCGGCUAACUACGUGCCAGCCGCCGCCGUAACAC
rnacentral:rRNA from 1 species